UUGAACUGAAGAGUUUGAUCCUGGCUCAGAUUGAACGCUGGCGGCAUGCCUUACACAUGCAAGUCGAACGGCAGCACGGGCUUCGGCCUGGUGGCGAGUGGCGAACGG
rnacentral:rRNA from 1 species